rnacentral:piRNA from 1 species
AUGUAGACCAGAUGGCCUCAAA